ACGCUCGACACCUACGGAAGGCAGCAGUGGGGAAUAUUGCACAAUGGGGGAAACCCUGAUGCAGCGACGCCGCGUGAGUGAAGAAGUAUUUCGGUAUGUAAAGCUCUAUCAGCAGGGAAGAAGAUGACGGUACCUGAGUAAGAAGCCCCGGCUAACUACGUGCCAGCGCGCCGGAGUAUNGNGCGNNGANAG
rnacentral:rRNA from 1 species